GCACCCGUAGCUCAAUUGGAUAGAGCGUUGGUCUCCGGAGCCGAAGGUUGCGAGUUCAAUCCUCGCCGGGUGCACCA
rnacentral:tRNA from 1 species